AGAAAAAUACAAAUUUAAAAAACACAUUUUAACAACUAUGCACGUGACAUUUACAUUGUGUUGGAUAUUAUAAGUAAUCUAGAGAUGACUUAAAGUAUACAGGAAAAUGUGCAUGGGUUAUAUGCAAGUACUAUAACAUUUUAUCUAAGG